GACGAACGCUGGCGGCGUGCUUAACACAUGCAAGUCGAACGGAAAGGCCCUGCUUUUGUGGGGUGCUCGAGUGGCGAACGGGUGAGUAACACGUGAGUAACCUGCCCUUGACUUUGGGAUAACUUCAGGAAACUGGGGCUAAUACCGGAUAGGAGCUCCUGCUGCAUGGUGGGGGUUGGAAAGUUUCGGCGGUUGGGGAUGGACUCGCGGCUUAUCAGCUUGUUGGUGGGGUAGUGGCUUACCAAGGCUUUGACGGGUAGCCGGCCUGAGAGGGUGACCGGCCACAUUGGGACUGAGAUACGGCCCAGACUCCUACGGGAGGCAGCAGUGGGGAAUAUUGCACAAGGGGCGGAAGCCUGAUGCAGCAACGCCGCGUGCGGGAUGACGGCCUUCGGGUUGUAAACCGCUUUCGCCUGUGACGAAGCGUGAGUGACGGUAAUGGGUAAAGAAGCACCGGCUAACUACGGGC
rnacentral:rRNA from 1 species